rnacentral:rRNA from 1 species
CCUACGGGAGGCAGCAGUGGGGGAUAUUGCACAAUGGGGGGAACCCUGAUGCAGCGACGCCGCGUGGGUGAAGGAGCGUUUCGGCGCGUAAAGCCCUAUCGGCAGGGACGAAGAUGACGGUACCUGCCCAAGAAGACCCGGCUAACUACGUGCCGGCAGCCGCGGUAAUACGUAGGGGGCAGGAGUUAUCCGGAUUUACGGGGGUGAAAGGGGGCGGAGAAGGCAAUGCAGGCCAGGAGUGAAAGCACGGGGCCCACCCCCGGGACUGCUCUUGGAACUGCAUGGCUUGAGUACAGGAGGGGCAGGCGGAAUUCCUAGUGUAGCGGUGAAAUGCGUAGAUAUUAGGAGGAACACCGGUGGCGAAGGCGGCCUGCUGGACUGUGACUGACGCUGAGGCCCGAAGGUGUGGGGAGCAAACAGGAUUAGAUACCCGAGUAGUC